rnacentral:misc_RNA from 1 species
AACGCACAUUGCGCCCGCCGGUAUUCCGGCGGGCAUGCCUGUCCGAGCGUCAUUUCACCACUCAAGCCCAGCUUGGUGUUGGGGCACCCGGCCGCCCGGCGGUCGGGGCCCCCAAGAACAUCGGCGGUCCCGCCAGGACCCUGAACGCAGUAACUCGCGGUAAAACGCGCUUCGUUCGGAGGCUUCCCGGCGGGCUCCAGCCGCUAAAACCCCCUAAACUUCUUAGGUUGACCUCGGAUCAGGUAGGAAUACCCGCUGAACUUAA